rnacentral:rRNA from 1 species
AUUGAACGCUGGCGGCAUGCUUUACACAUGCAAGUCGAACGGCAGCGCGGGCUUCGGCCUGGCGGCGAGUGGCGAACGGGUGAGUAAUGCAUCGGAACGUGCCCAGUAGUGGGGGAUAGCCCGGCGAAAGCCGGAUUAAUACCGCAUACGACCUGAGGGUGAAAGCGGGGGACCGAAAGGCCUCGCGCUAUUGGAGCGGCCGAUGUCGGAUUAGCUAGUUGGUGGGGUAAAGGCUUACCAAGGCGACGAUCCGUAGCUGGUCUGAGAGGACGACCAGCCACACUGGGACUGAGACACGGCCCAGACUCCUACGGGAGGCAGCAGUGGGGAAUUUUGGACAAUGGGGGCAACCCUGAUCCAGCCAUGCCGCGUGCGGGAAGAAGGCCUUCGGGUUGUAAACCGCUUUUGUUCGGGAAGAAAUCCUCUGGGCCAAUACCCCGGGGGGAUGACGGUACCGGAAGAAUAAGCACCGGCUAACUACGUG